UUUACAAGAAUGGAUUCUGGAGGAACCAUUGUUUCAUAAUCCAUUUAUUCAGGCAAAAUGUUUAUGUUCAGAAAGUUUGAGGAACUGUCUGAUUAGAGCUGGAUUUACUAAAGUUAAGAAUAUUGGAGAUACAAACGAAUGGAAAACUGAGGAAACAUUACAGAAGAACACUGAAAUGCAUUCUUGGCGUGUCGUGUCUCAGGUGCUGAAGGAAGUGAAUGCAGCUUUACCAGGAGUCUGCAUAGAAGCAUUAGGACUUCAUCAAGUGCAAGAGGAGGAGAAAAACUGUGCAUUUCCACUGAUUUCUGUGUCUGCAGAGGUGAGGACACGUUCGUGCUGCAUUCAGUGCAGCUCGAGCUGGAGGCCAUGGAGAAGCAGAUUCGCCACCUGGAGGUGAGGCAGGCCCAGCUGAGAGAGCAGAGAGCCACACCGGAAACCUCCCAGGCUGAUGCUCUCAAGUCCGGUGUAAGUAUACAGCGCGCUGCUAACAGUCCCACCACGUCUACUCUGUGUGUUUCUCUGCACAGGCCAGAUACACCCAGGAUGCGAUCUUCCCAGAUGUCCUACACUCGGGCGCUGGGAAACCACGGACCCUGGGUGCAUCUACAGUGGAGUACGCGAGCCAGGCCCUGGGCGAUGACUUCUCCCCCUCCGGUCUUCGAGAGACCCGGAACCCAGAGACGGGACACGUUGCUGUGAUCAUCUGUGACCCAAUCUUCCAACACAUCCGUGCUACGUUAGCCGAAGGUAAGGUGCACUCUCACUGUUUCCCUGGUGCUUGAGUUCCCGAUGAUUCUGCACAGAUGCCCGCGUUCCUGAAUGCCGAUGAGAGCCCCAGAGCUGGGGACACCACAUUGCGGCAGACGGAGACGCUAAAGAGGGACUUCAGGAGCCUGAUCGAGACGGUACGCAGCACGACACCCGCGGUGAUGAUCAUCGUUUCAGGACCACUGCCCACGUAUUGAUGAGGACUAUAGACUUGUUGCUUUAAAUUAAUGGAGGUUGUCAUGGUGUAAAGAACAGAAACUGCUAUUUGUUAAUAAUUGGAAUCUUUUCUGGGAGCGUAAUAGGCUUUUUCACACUGAUGGCCUGCACCCCAGCAGAGUCAGAGCGGAGCCACUCUCUGACAACAUCUCCAGGACACUUCGCUCCAUGUGACUAGAUAUACACAAACUCUAGUCUUGAUUCAGAACACCUGAAAAGAGAUGAUGAUGACCCUUCAGAGGACCCCAAGAUGAUGCUAACCCUGAAUCAACAAACAGAACUAAUAAAUAUUGCUACAAGUGUGAUUGCAUCAUAUAAUAAUUGCUGCUAAUAAAAUUCAUCAUCUGGCU